ACAUUAUUCAAUACAAUGCUCACAAAUAAUCGACUCUCAAUAAGUUCUCCCCCUAAACCAAACGAAUGCUUUUUCACUACACAUACAUAUGAUACAUUUCUAUCAAGAAUUACAACAUACAACAAUCAAUACUCAUGGGGACUACCCAUUUGCCUAAAUGAGACCAGUGUAUGUAUUAGAUGCUUGAACUGGCAUCCCCACGCCGUACUGGUGCACACCGACCGAAGCAUAGGCGUUACCAAAUGGAUUCAUCGACACCUGGUGAGGCUGCUGACCCAUCAUCAUCAUCUGCUGCUGUAGCAUGAGCGCUUGUUGCUGCUGUGCCAUAGUGGCCAUCUGCACAUGAUGAGGUGCAGCAACUGCAUUCGAGGCAUAGAAAGGGUCAUGCACCACUGGCUGCAUGUAUGGGCUCGAUGCAGGUGGCAUCUCCCAUGGAUUGUAGCUCGUGGGCUGGUUCGCUCUUCUGAUUGCAUCGUCAUAUAAACUGUCCAGCGUGAGCUUGUUCAACCCUCCAGCCAGUUUACUUGUUGCCACAGCGGUUUCAUUUGAGCUCGGGGCUGUUACGAGUGCUAAUUCCCAGCCUGUUGUUCCAUUCAGUGAACUAAAGCUAUCAACGGUAGCUGAUUGAGUAUCAACUGGAACAAUGGCCAGUGCCAAUGCAUUUCUGUGAUCUAGCUCGGAUGCAUCUGGGUUGGUAUCGUUUAACCCCAGUAAAUCAGGUUGCUCAACAAUAGGCGCAGGGGCUUCCUCUUUGACUGGUUCGGGUGGCGGAGAGGGUGGCUUUGGUACCUCUUCAACUUCUGGAGUUUCUUUAUAUUCUAUCGCCAAAACUACUUUUGGUUUAUCAUCAAUCGCCUGAUCUUUACGAACAAUCGAAGCUCGUGGAGCAUCUUUGACAUACUCCUCUAAUGCUGUGAGAAAAGAUGCAGGGGGCUGUUCAAUCUUUAUAAAUUUUUCUCCCCGUCCGAUAUCAAUGCUUUUACAUAUUUCAUAGAACUGUGAUAGUCUCUCUGCCUGUUGACCUGCUCUCCUGUAUAUCUCAAGUGCCCUAACAGCAUCGUGACGUUGCAUCUCAAAAAACUUGUCAACCAAAUUUGUUGUACCAUCGCUGAUAGCAUUAUAAAUCUUAAUACUCUCUCCCGCAACCAUUGUAA
rnacentral:misc_RNA from 1 species